AAAUAAAAACUUUAUAGAAAUAUAAUUGAUACGAAAUAAAAAUUUAUACAUAAAUAUAUGUAAGUAUAUAAAGAGACUAUUAGGAAAUACUAGCUAUGUAUUAAAGAGAUUUAUAUUUAUCCCAUUAAUUAGGAUAAUAAACUCUAAGAGAAAUCAGAUAAUAAACGAAGCGAAUUGAAUUAUCUUAUUAGCUUCAGGAAAAGAAAUCAAAAGAGAUUCUAUGAUUAGCGUGAGCAAAAAUAGAUAAGUCUAAAUAAUAAGUAAAAUGACUUUAAAGUUGUUUGAAUAUAAUGGGGAACCUUCCUCAAAGACUAAAUAUAAUACAUAAGCGAUAGUGAAAUAGUACCGUGAGGGAAAAGUAAGUAGAAUUAGUAGUUUUAUAAGCAGCUCGAGCGAAAGCAAGAGCGUACCUUUUGCAUAAUGGGUCACCAAGUUAAUUUUAGAUGCGAGCUAAUUAAUAAGCGUAGUUAAACCGAUCAUGAAAAGAAUGAAGAGUAUCUAAAAUUAGACCCGAAGUACAGUGAUCUUACCAUAGUCAGGACUAUAAAGGUCCGAACGGGUUAUCGUUGCAAAGAUAUCCGAAGAAUUAUGGUAAGUAUAGUGAAAGACAAUCCGUGACUGUAUUAGCUGGUUUUCUGCGAAACCUAUAACAGUAGGCAGUUUAAGUUACAUCUUUACAGGUACAGAACUUAAUCUCAGACAAGGUGUAUAUUAAAAUACAUUUUAUUUUGUAUAGAUCGGGGGAUCAUAAAGAUUUUACCGGUGAGUUUGUGGACUCGAAAUGGUAAAGAUGAAUCUUAAAUUAUCGGACAUAGAAUGAUAAGGUUGUAUGUCAAAAGGGAAACAGCCCAGAACAAGAGUUAAGGUUCCGAAGUUAUUAUUAAGUGAAAUUAAGAAGGUUUUUAUCUAAGUCGACAAGGAGAUUGGCUUAGAAGCAGCCAUAAUUUAAAGACCUCGUAUCAGAGCACUUGUUAAAUGUUAAAAGCGUCGAAAAUUUAACGGAUCUAAAUAAUACACCGAUACCUUGUCUAUAAAUGAUUAGAAUUAUUCUAAUUAUUUAUGGGGUAGCAGAACGUUGAGUUAAUUUUAGUGUUUUUUUUUAUAAAAAAAAUAAUAUUAUAACUCAAGUGAGAAUGGUGACAUGAGUAACGAAAAAGAAAAUUUUAUAAUUAUAAUUAAAUUAUAAUUAUAAAAUACUCGCCUAAAGCUUAUGGUUAUGAUAAGUAACGGCCUCUAAGUUUAUAACCUGAAGGUUAAAACGAUGAGAAAAUUCUUAUUACUAUUAAUGACAACAUUUUUAAGUGGAAAGUGUACAGGAAAUAAUUAGUAAUACUGUAUUAAAAAUACAAUAACCGUUCCUAGGAACUACAACAAGUAAGCUAGUAGAGAAUACGAAGGCGCAUGAGAUAACAAUCUUAAAGGAACUCGGCAAAUUGACUACCGUAACUUAGGGAUAAGGAGGGCUCAUUUCUCCUGAUUAAUAUCAGGUAAAAAGGAAGAAGCAUAAAAUAAUGUUGUACGACUGUUUAAUUAAAACAAAGCACUUUGCAGAAAGAUGAUAAAUCUAAGUAUUGAGUGUGAUGUCUGCCCGAUGCCGGCUGGUUAACGAAAUCUACUAAAUUAUAAAAAUUUGGUUUUUAAGGAACCCCCGGUCAAUGGCGGCCUUAACGUGAGGGUCCUAAGGUAGCGAAAUGCCUUGGCCGUUAAAUGCGGUCUUGCAUGAAUGAUAUAACGAUACAACAGCUGUCUCUAAGAUUGACUCAGUGAAAUUGGAAUAACUGUGCAGAUACAGUUUACCUCUAGGUAGACGAGAAGACCCUAUGCAGCUUUACUGUUACUAAUUAUUGGAUAUAAUCCAAACAAAUUUUAGUUUAGAAGGUUCAUCGAUUAGAUAAAAGUGAAAGACCUUUAUUUGUUUAUUAUAUUAUAAACCUUGAAUUAAAAAGGAACAGUUGUUAGAAGACAGUUUAUGUGGGGCACAGACCCCUUAAAGAGUAAAAGGGUGUAUCUAAAAUUAUAACUUAUAUUAUUAUAUAAGUUUAUUAUAUAUUUUAUUGUUUGUAAUUAUUUUUAACUUUGUUAUAUUUAAUCAUAUAUUUUUGUGUAUAAAUAUAUACAUGUUAUUAGGUAAGAUUACCCUAUUGAGAAAUUAGGAGUAUAAUAAUAUAUUGUAUUUAUAUAAUAUAUUAUAAUUAUUAUGGUUUUAAUCAUUAAUAAUCAUGUUUAAUACUUAUUAAGUUGAAUGGCUUAAUCUUGCUUUACUGUUUGAUUCACAACAAAUCUUACAGUCGCGUAAGCGGGGCAUUGGAUCACAAGAUACAACAAGGAAAGGUCUUGGAUUAUUGGAAAAGCUACGCUAGGGAUAACAGGCUAAUUUGCGCAAGAGUGUGCAAAAUGAGUGCGCGGUUUGGCACCUCGAUGUCGGCUUAACUUAUCCUCAUGGAUGGCAGAAACUAUGUAGGGUACGACUGUUCGUCGAUUAAAAAGUUACAUGAGCUGGGUUAAGUACGUCGUGAGACAGUACGGUUUCUAUCUUCUAGGGGGAAUUAGAAUAUAAUAAGGAUUAACCUUGUACGAAAGGAACCUGGGCAACGCCUUAUUCCCAAAAGGAAUAACGGUUUUAUUAACCUCUGGUUUAUCUGUUGUUUAUGUGCCCAAUUAUUAAUUUAGGUAUAAUAGUAAUAUUAUACAGGGAUGUUACUUUCACUUAGGUAAAUGUAUAGCAUAGGCAUGGCAGAAAAGCUAAGUUAGUCAGAGAUAAGUGCUGAAAGCAUAUAAGCACGAAGCUCACCUUAAGAUAUUUCUUAAAUAUACGUAAAAGAAUAUUACGUAAUAGGCUUAGUUUGUAAUAAUCUAGAGAUUUUUAGAUACUAAGUACUAAUUUUAUAAAUAACUGAAUAUUUAUCGU
rnacentral:rRNA from 1 species